rnacentral:rRNA from 1 species
UAGGGAAUCUUCGGCAAUGGACGAAAGUCUGACCGAGCAACGCCGCGUGAGUGAAGAAGGUUUUCGGAUCGUAAAACUCUGUUGUUAGAGAAGAACAAGGACGUUAGUAACUGAACGUCCCCUGACGGUAUCUAACCAGAAAGCCACGGCUAACUACGUGCCAGCAGCCGCGGUAAUACGUAGGUGGCAAGCGUUGUCCGGAUUUAUUGGGCGUAAAGCGAGCGCAGGCGGUUUCUUAAGUCUGAUGUGAAAGCCCCCGGCUCAACCGAGGAGGGUCAUUGGAAGCUGGGAGACUUGAGUGCAGAAGAGGAGAGUGGAAUUCCAUGUGUAGCGGUGAAAUGCGUAGAUAUGUGGAGGAACACCAGUGGCGAAGGCGGCUCUCUGGUCUGUAACUGACGCUGAGGCUCGAAAGCGUGGGGAGCAAACAGG